GAGGGUGCAGCUCAGUCGUACAGCAUGUGCUUAGCAUGCACAAGGUCCUGGGUUCAAUCCCCAGUACCUUCA
rnacentral:tRNA from 1 species